rnacentral:rRNA from 1 species
AGGGCGAGCAGGGGCGGCCUGGCCGUGGCGCGGGGCAUGUGGUGGCUACCCUUCUAUUCCGGCGGGGGACCGCGGAGCCAAGGAGGGACCGGAGUGAGGGCGAGAGUAGGUGAGGGGGGGAGAGGGUCCGCUAGGGGAGAGGUCAAAGCGGGGUGAGGGCUUGCGGAGGCAACGGCGACAACGGCAGCUGGAGCGCCGGUAGUAGCGGGGGGUGCGGCUCGACCCUCCAGGCCGCCUUGGCGACAGCAGAUGAAGCAGAAGGAGCGGGUGCUCCAGUUCGGCCCUCGGGGGUGUAGCUGGCCUAGCUCCAGUAGAAGUUGGAGGCGGGGCGACGAACGGCAGAAGCUAAGCCGGAGUAGCCUUGGAGGGGCUCGGGCGAAACGAGUGGAUGUCCGAGCUAUCUACAGCCUCGGGUCCUAGGUCUGCGGUGGAAACUGCUGCUUAUGGUGUUGGGGCUCCCACGGAUGAUGAUGCACCUCCUGCGGUUGCUGGUCCUCAUCAAUCCUCCGAGGGUCCGUCCUCCGGAACGGAGAAGCUAGCAUCUACGAAA